rnacentral:rRNA from 1 species
AACGAACGCUGGCGGCAGGCCUAACACAUGCAAGUCGAGCGCACUCUUCGGAGUGAGCGGCGGACGGGUUAGUAACGCGUGGGAACGUACCCUUUACUACGGAGUAGCCUCGGGAAACUGGGAGUAAUACCGUAUACGCCCUUUGGGGGAAAGAUUUAUCGGUAAAGGAUCGGCCCGCGUUAGAUUAGGUAGUUGGUGGGGUAAUGGCCUACCAAGCCUACGAUCUAUAGCUGGUUUGAGAGGAUGAUCAGCAACACUGGGACUGAGACACGGCCCAG